CACGAGUACAACGAUCAGGACGAGAGAGAAGGAAGCCGGUUGCAUGAUCAGUGGGGAUGAAGCACUGUCCUGUUCUGGAUGGAGUGUGGGUCGCUACUGGAGGAGGAGAAAGUCCAGCAGCUCUAUUUAAACAGAGGGUCAAUAAACCGGCUAACUCAUUUACCAAAAUGUUUUCUGUGGUUAAGAGCUGGAAUUCAUGAUGACUUUAACACCAUGCAGGAGGAGAGCUAGGUCAGAAAGCACACUAAAAUAUUGAGUCGUAGAUGCAGGCAGAAUUUGUUCUGUGUUCAGAUAAACAUAAGAAACCUGAUCCAGAUGUUCCAGCUGUUAGACCAGAGGCUGGAGGAGAGGAGGAGGAUCAGGAAACAAGAUGAUGGAAACGGUAAUUCAGCUUCAACGUCUUCAGGUAUAAAGCAGUGAGAUGCACCGUGACGUAACACGUCCGUGCACACGCUCAGAGGUGUUUGAAAGAUGGAAAACAGGAAGAGCAAGGAUGGUGAGGAGAAGGAAAGAAUUAAAAAGAGGAAAGCUCUGGAAACAGACGCAGCCGAAUGUGCAGAAAUUGGAAACUUUUUCACUAAAGCUCGCGGUUUGAAACGACAAAUGAGGACGAGGAAACGGAUACGGACUUUGUUGAACUUUGCAAACCACCGUUCCAGUUAAUUAUCAAAUCAAUUCAUUGUGUGCCAUUGUGGCGUAAAACAGAACGUUAUAUAAUUUAAAUAAUAGUACGAUGCGACCACAUAACUGGGAAACUUUGUCUUGAAGAGUCAGAACAAAGAUCCAGAACCAAGCAGCAGCCAAGAGCCACAAGUCCAGAGUGGGAGGUAGGAUUGUUCAUGGAGUGAAUAUUAUUAGAAUGAAUCUAAUGAAGAGUCUGGUGUAGAGCUGCUCUAUAUGAGAAGAUGAUUCAGCUCUACAUUCAUGAAACGGACCUGACGGCUUUGUAAAAAGGGGAGAUUUGUGCUGAGAGUUUUGACCAUUUUAAAAUUGUGAUUUAGUGUCAGAGGCAGAGCCAGUAGUGAUGAGAGGAUUAUUGCUGUAGUAUGAAGGAACAGGUGAGCUGUUGGAACAGAGCGAACAAACAAACAUUAGUUCCAAUACUUUCUACGCCCAAACCAUAGCAGUGACCCAUUUAAUUUUUAUCAUUAAAAGACAAUAAAUACACAAAGACCACAACUGAAAGGGAACAGGAUGAGAUAAAAACAUUGACUUUCAUUACUGAUGUCCAGUUUUAAUAAAGUUCAUGCUACUUUUAUAAAAUGAUGAAAGUGAUUAAAUUGUAUUUGUGUGAUCUGUGUUUGAUUUCUGUCUUUUCUCCUCAUCCAGAUGUUCAGAGGAGCUGAUGCCACAUCUGGUCCAGCCGAUGGAAGGUCUUGAAGUUCUCUGACUGAAGAUGGUCCUCUGACUGGAUUUAAGGUUCAGAUGCUCAGGAACAAACUCCACCAAUGAGCCAACAGGGAAGCUUUAGGUGUUUUAAAUGUUGCUAUAAAGCAAGAAGACUAAACUACAUUAGUUGGACUUCUACAUGAGAGCUUUAGUUAUUCUUCAUCUACUUCCUGAGAAGUUUGUUCAGUAAAAAAGACAAAAGCUAUGACUUUCAGCUGAACUAAAGACAGACUUUGUGAUUUUUCUGCUCACAUGUUGUGUUGUUCUAAACUUACUCUUUCAA